AGUGCAUGCGGCGGAUGCCUUGGCGAUCACAGGCGAAGAAAGACGCGGCAGCCUGCGAAAAGCUGCGGGGAGCUGGCAAACGAGCUUUGAUCCGCAGAUAUCUGAAUGGGGGAACCCACACCGCAAGGUGUAUCCGUAGCUCAAUACAUAGGUUACGGAGGCGAACGAGGAGAACUGAAACAUCUAAGUAUCCUCAGGAAAAGAAAUCAACCGAGAUUCCGGCAGUAGCGGCGAGCGAACCCGGAGGAGCCCAGCUUUUGAUAGUACGAACUUUAGCCGAAAGGUCCUGGAAAGGCCUGCUAUAGUGGGUGAUAGCCCCGUAGGCGAAAGAGUUGGUACGGUACUAAGGAAGCGAGAAGUAGAGCGGGACACGUGGAAUCCUGUUCGAAGACGGGGGGACCAUCCUCCAAGGCUAAAUACUCGUGAUCGACCGAUAGUGAACCAGUACCGUGAGGGAAAGGCGAAAAGAACCCCGGGAGGGGAGUGAAAUAGAACCUGAAACCGCAUGCAUACAAACAGUAGGAGCCUCGUCAGAGGUGACUGCGUACCUUUUGCAUAAUGGGUCAGCGACUUACAUUCUGUGGCGAGCUUAACCGAAUAGGGGAGGCGCAGCGAAAGCGAGUUCGAAAUGAGCGUUCAGUCGCAGGGUGUAGACCCGAAACCAGAUGAGCUAUCCAUGGCCAGGUUGAAGGUGUGGUAACACACACUGGAGGACCGAACCGACUAGUGUUGCAAAAUUAGCGGAUGAGCUGUGGAUAGGGGUGAAAGGCCAAACAAAUCUGGAGAUAGCUGGUUCUCCCCGAAAACUAUUGAGGUAGUGCCUCGUGUGUCGCUCCAGGGGGUAGAGCACUGUUUUGGCUAGGGGGACAUGGAGUCUUACCAAACCAAGGCAAACUCCGAAUACCUGGAAGCGUAAGCACGGGAGACAGAGCACCGGGUGCUAACGUCCGGACUCAAAAGGGAAACAACCCAGACCGCCGGCUAAGGUCCCAAAUAACAGCUAAGUGGAAAACGAAGUGGAAAGGCCGUGACAACCAGGAAGUUGGCUUAGAAGCAGCCAUCCUUCAAAGAAAGCGUAAUAGCUCACUGGUCGAGUCCUUCUGCGCGGAAGAUGUAACGGGGCUAAGCUGUUAACCGAAGCCGCGGAUGCGCUGGUUAUCCAGUGCGUGGUAGGGGAGCGUUCUGUAAGUCUGCGAAGGCGGUUCGAGAGGACUGCUGGAGAUAUCAGAAGUGCGAAUGCUGACAUGAGUAACGUUAAAGCAGGUGAAAAGCCUGCUCGCCGUAAGCCCAAGGAUUCCUGCUCUACGUUCAUCGGAGCAGGGUGAGUCGGCUCCUAAGGUCAGGCCGAAAGGCGUAGCCGAUGGGAAUCAGGUUAAUAUUCCUGAACCUGCGUCAGAUGCGAUGGGGGGACGGAGCAUGGAAGAUCAUCCGGGUGUUGGAAGUCCCGGUUGUUUAGCGUAGGAGGUCUGCAGGCAAAUCCGCAGACGCAUCUCCAAGGCAAAGACACGUGCCGCCACGGCGGCGAAGUGAUCGGAAGUGCUUCCAAGAAAAGCCUCUAAGCACCAGUCUGAUGCGGACCGUACCGCAAACCGACACUGGUGGGCGAGCUGAAUAUGCUCAGGCGCUUGAGAGAACUCGGGAGAAGGAACUCGGCAAAUUGACACCGUAACUUCGGAAGAAGGUGUGCCGUAGUACCGUGAGAGGAGAGACACCUUGAGCGGGAAACGGUCUCAGAGAAUAGGUGGCUGCGACUGUUUAUUAAAAACACAGCACUCUGCAAAGUCGAAAGACGACGUAUAGGGUGUGAUGCCUGCCCGGUGCUGGAAGAUUAAUUGAUGGGGUGAGAGCCCUUGAUCGAAGUCCCAGUAAACGGCGGCCGUAACUAUAACGGUCCUAAGGUAGCGAAAUUCCUUGUCGGGUAAGUUCCGACCUGCACGAAUGGCAUAACGAUGGCCACACUGUCUCCUCCCGAGACUCAGUGAAGUUGAAAUGUUUGUGAUGAUGCAAUCUACCCGCGGCUAGACGGAAAGACCCCAUGAACCUUUACUGCAGCUUUGCAUUGAACUGUGAACCGAUUUGUGUAGGAUAGGUGGGAGGCAGAGAAGAGGCCACGCCAGUGGUCUUGGAGCCGACCUUGAAAUACCACCCUGAUUUGUUUGCGGUUCUAACCACGGACAGUGAUCCUGUCUUGGGACCGUGCAUGGUAGGCAGUUUGACUGGGGCGGUCUCCUCCUAAAGGGUAACGGAGGAGUACGAAGGUACGCUAGGUACGGUCGGAAAUCGUGCUGAUAGUGCAAUGGCAAAAGCGUGCUUGACUGCGAGAGCAACAACUCGAGCAGAUGCGAAAGCAGGUCAUAGUGAUCCGGUGGCUCUGAAUGGAAGGGCCAUCGCUCAACGGAUAAAAGGUACUCUGGGGAUAACAGGCUGAUACCGCCCAAGAGUUCAUAUCGACGGCGGUGUUUGGCACCUCGAUGUCGGCUCAUCUCAUCCUGGGGCUGUAGUCGGUCCCAAGGGUAUGGCUGUUCGCCAUUUAAAGAGGUACGUGAGCUGGGUUUAAAACGUCGUGAGACAGUUUGGUCCCUAUCUGCCGUGGGCGUUGGAAGAUUGACGGGGGCUGCUCCUAGUACGAGAGGACCGGAGUGGACGCACCUCUGGUGUACCGGUUGUCACGCCAGUGGCAUUGCCGGGUAGCUAAGUGCGGAAGAGAUAACCGCUGAAAGCAUCUAAGCGGGAAACUUGCCUGAAGAUGAGUCUUCCCGGAGGUUGAACCUCCCUCAAGAGUCGUCCGAGACCAGGACGUCGAUAGGUCAGGUGUGUAAGCGCUGUAAGGCGUUGAGCUAACUGAUACUAAUUGCUCGUGAGGCUUGAUC
rnacentral:rRNA from 1 species